UGGGGAAUUUUGGACAAUGGGCGCAAGCCUGAUCCAGCCAUGCCGCGUGCGGGAAGAAGGCCUUCGGGUUGUAAACCGCUUUGUCNGGGAAGAAAUCUCUGAGUUAAUACCUCGGGAGGAUGACGGUACCUGAAGAAUAAGCACCGGCUAACUACGUGCCAGCAGCCGCGGUAAUACGUAGGGUGCAAGCGUUAAUCGGAAUACUGGGCGUAAAGCGUGCGCAAGGCGGUUUUGUAAGACAGAGGUGAAAUCCCCGGGCUCAACCUGGGAACUGCCUUUGUGACUGCAAGGCUUGAGUGCGGCAGAGGGGGGAUGGAAUUCCGCGUGUAGCAGUGAAAUGCGUAGAUAUGCGGNGGAACACCGAUGGCGAAGCAAUCCCCUGGGCCUGCACUGACGGCUCAUGCACGAAAGCGUGGGGAGCAAACAGGAUUAGAUACCCUGGUAGUCCACGCCCUAAACGGAUGUCAACUGGUUGUUGGGAAGGUUCCUUCUCAAGUAACGUAGCUAACGCGUGAAGUUGNCCGCCUGGGGAGUACGGCGCAA
rnacentral:rRNA from 1 species